rnacentral:rRNA from 1 species
CCUACGGGAGGCAGCAGUGAGGAAUAUUGGUCAAUGGGCGGAAGCCUGAACCAGCCAAGCCGCGUGAGGGAAGAAGGUACAGCGUAUCGUAACCCUCUUUUGUCGGGGAGCAAAAGCGUCGACUAGUCCCCGGAUGAGGGUACCUGAAGAAGAAGCAUCGGCAAACUCCGUGCCAGCAGCCGCGGUAAUCGGGGGGAGGCGAGUGUUAGCGGUAUUUAUUGGGUUUAAGGGGUGGGCAGGCGGCCUGUUAAGUCAGCGGUAAAAGCCCGGGGCUCAGCCCCGGCGUGCCGGUGAAACUGGCGGGCUGGAGUGGGGGAGAAGUACGCGGAAUGCGUGGUGUAGCGGUGAAAUGCUUAGAUAUCGCGCAGAACACCGAUGGCGAAGGCAGCGUACCGG